AUGAACGCUGGCGGCGUGCCUAAUACAUGCACGUCGAGCGAACAGACGAGGAGCUUGCUCCUCUGACGUUAGCGGCGGACGGGUGAGUAACACGUGGAUAACCUACCUAUAAGACUGGGAUAACUUCGGGAAACCGGAGCUAAUACCGGAUAAUAUAUUGAACCGCAUGGUUCAAUAGUGAAAGACGGUUUUGCUGUCACUUAUAGAUGGAUCCGCGCCGCAUUAGCUAGUUGGUAAGGUAACGGCUUACCAAGGCAACGAUGCGUAGCCGACCUGAGAGGGUGAUCGGCCACACUGGAACUGAGACACGGUCCAGACUCCUACGGGAGGCAGCAGUAGGGAAUCUUCCGCAAUGGGCCAAAGCCUGACGGAGCAACGCCGCGUGAGUGAUGAAGGUCUUCGGAUCGUAAAACUCUGUUAUUAGGGAAGAACAAAUGUGUAAGUAACUAUGCACGUCUUGACGGUACCUAAUCAGAAAGCCACGGCUAACUACGUG
rnacentral:rRNA from 1 species